rnacentral:rRNA from 1 species
AGAGUUUGAUCCUGGCUCAGAACGAACGCUGGUGGUAUGCUUAACACAUGCAAGUCGAACGGACUCUUGGUGCUUGCACCAAGUAAGUUAGUGGCAAACGGGUGAGUAAUACACAGGAAUCUACCUAGCAGUAAGGAAUAACCCUGGGAAACCAGAGCUAAUGCCAUAUAUUACCGAUUUAUCGGGAAAGAUUUAUCGCUGUUAGAUGAGCCUGUGUCAGAUUAGCUAGUUGGUAGGGUAAUGGCCUACCAAGGCGAUGAUCUGUAGCUGGUCUGAGAGGAUGAUCAGCCACACUGGGACUGCGACACGGCCCAGACUCCUACGGGAGGCAGCAGUGGGGAAUAUUGGACAAUGGACGCAAGUCUGAUCCAGCAAUACCACGUGAAUGAUGAAGGCCUUAGGGUUGUAAAGUUCUUUUAGUAGGGAAGAUAAUGACGGUACCUACAGAAAAAGCACCGGCUAACUUCGUGCCAGCAGCCGCGGUAAUACGAAGGGUGCUAGCGUUGUUCGGAAUCAUUGGGCGUAAAGCGUGCGUAGGCGGCAUGAUAAGUCAGCUGUGAAAGCCCAGGGCUCAACCUUGGAAUUGCAGUUGAAACUAUUAAGCUAG